rnacentral:rRNA from 1 species
CCUACGGGGGGCUGCAGUAGGGAAUAUUGGACAAUGGGCGCAAGCCUGAUCCAGCCAUGCCGCGUGAGUGAAGAAGGCCCUCGGGUUGUAAAGCUCUUUUGUCCGGAAAGAAAAGCAAUCGGUUAAUACCCGGUUGUUCUGACGGUACCGGAAGAAUAAGCACCGGCUAACUUCGUGCCAGCAGCCGCGGUAAUACGAAGGGUGCAAGCGUUACUAGGGAGUACUGGGCGUAAAGCGUACGUCUGAGGUUAAAGCCCUGGGCUCAACCUGGGAAUGGCAUUGGAGACUGGCGGGCUAGAGUGCGGUAGAGGGUAGUGGAAUUCCCGGUGUAGCAGUGAAAUGCGUAGAGAUCGGGAGGAACAUCUGUGGCGAAGGCGACUGCCUGGACCAGCACUGACACUGAGGCACGAAAGCGUGGGGAGCAAACAGGAUUAGAUACCCCGGUAGUC